UGGCAUAACCCCGGGAAACUGGGGAUAAUACCGGAUAGGUCAAACUUGCUGGAAGGCUGUUUGGUUGAAACCUCCGGGGCUUUUGGAUGGGUCUGCGGCUGAUUAGGUUGUUGCCGGUGUAACGUACCGUCAAGCCUGUAAUCAGUACGGGUUGUGGGAGCAAGAGCCCGGAGAUGGAUUCUGAGACACGAAUCCAGGCCCUACGGGGCGCAGCAGGCGCGAAAACUCUACAAUGCAGGCAACUGCGAUAGGGGAACAUCGAGUGGCGUCCAUAUUGGAUGUCUGUCCUCCCGCCUAAAAAGCGGGAGUUAGCAAGGGCCGGGCAAGACCGGUGCCAGCCGCCGCGGUAAUACCGGCGGCUCGAGUGGUGGCCGAUAUUAUUGAGUCUAAAGGGUCCGUAGCCGGCUUUGCAAGUCUCUCGGGAAAUCCAGCGGCUUAACCGUUGGUCGUCCGGGGGGUACUACAUUGCUUGGGACUGGGAGAGGUAGGAGGUACUCAGGGGGUAGGAGUGAAAUCCUGUAAUCCUUUGGGGACCACCGGUGGCGAAGGCGUCCUACCAGAACAGGUCCGACGGUGAGGGACGAAAGCUAGGGGCACGAACCGGAUUAGAUACCCGGGUAGUCCUAGCCGUAAACGAUGCUCGCUAGGUGUCACAACAGUCAUGAACUGUUGUGGUGCCGUAGGGAAGCCGUGAAGCGAGCCACUUGGGAAGUACGACCGCAAGGUUGAAACUUAAAGGAAUUGGCGGGGGAGCACCACAACGGGUGGAGCCUGCGGUUUAAUUGGACUCAACGCCGGGAAGCUUACCGGGAUCGACAGUUGUAUGAAGGCCAGGCUGAAGACCUUGCCGGACUAUCUGAGAGGAGGUGCAUGGCCGCCGUCAGUUCGUACCGUGAGGCGUCCUGUUAAGUCAGGCAACGAGCGAGACCCAUGCCCACUGUUGCUAACGCGACCCGCGAGGGUUGGCGAGUACACGGUGGGGACCGCUGGCGCUAAGUCAGAGGAAGGGG
rnacentral:rRNA from 1 species